AUGGACAAAGCUAGAACGAGCAGAUCUAAGCAGGGCAGUCAACUCCGCUCCAUCGUCAGCAUGGAAAUGGCGCAGGCAGCACGAGACCUGUUCAUUCCCACCGGCACCAGCGUACCGCUCCUUCUGCUCGUCGCCGGCCUCACCGCCGUCCUGUACGCCGUGACCCGGCAGAGGAGCGGCGAGCUACGCCUCCCGCCUAGCCCAUUCGGCCUGCCCAUCCUCGGCCACCUCCACCUCCUCGUGCCGCUGCCGCACCAGGCGCUGCACCGCCUGGCCGAGCGCCACGGCCCGCUCCUCUACCUCCGUCUCGGCUCCAUGCCCUGCAUCGCCGCCUGCUCCCCGGACGCCGCCCGCGAGGUGCUCAAGACCCACGAGGCCGCGUUCCUGGACCGCCCCAAGCCGACGGCGGUGCACCGCCUCACCUACGGCGGCCAGGACUUCUCCUUCUCCGCGUACGGGCCCUUCUGGCGCUUCAUGAAGAAGGCCUGCGUACGCGAGCUCCUCGCGGGCCGCACCCUCGACCGCCUCAGCCACGUCCGCCGCGAGGAGGUGUCGCGCCUCGUGGUCUCCCUGGGGCAGAGCGCCGCCGAGGGCAAGACCGUGGACGUGGACGCCGCGCUCAUGGGCCUGACCGGCGACAUCGUCUCGCGGAUGGUGAUGAGCCGGCGGUGGACCGGCGACGACAACGACACCGAGGAGAUGCGGAGCGUGGUCGCCGAGACGGCCGAGCUCACGGGCACGUUCAACCUGCAGGACUACAUCGGCGCGUUCAAGAACUGGGACGUGCAGGGCCUCGGCAAGCGCAUCGACGCCGUGCACCGCAAGUUCGACAUCAUGAUGGAGAGGAUACUCACGGCAAGGGACGCCAAGCGGCGGCAGCAACGGGAGACCGCCGACUCCGACGACGGUGGCGAGGGGGAGCGUAAGGACAUUCUUGAUAUCCUGUUCGACAUGCACGAAGACGACGCCGCCGAGAUGCAGCUCACCAGAGACAACAUCAAGGCUUUCAUGCUGGACAUCUUCGCGGCGGGGACGGACACGACGACGAUCACGGUGGAGUGGGCGCUGUCGGAGCUGAUCAACAACCCGGACGUUCUCCGGAAGGCCCAGGACGAGAUGGACGCGGUGGUCGGCAAGGACCGGCUCGCCGACGAGUCGGACAUCCCAAACCUGCCGUACCUGCAGGCCGUGACCAAGGAGACGCUGCGGCUACACCCGACGGGCCCGCUGGUGGUGCGGCGGUCCCUGGAGCAGUGCAAGGUGAGCGGGUACGACGUGCCGGCCGGCGCGACGGUGUUCGUGAACGUGUGGGCCAUCGGGCGCGACCCGUCGUGCUGGCCGGAGCCGCUGGAGUUCCGACCGGAGAGGUUCCUGGAGGGGGGCACGAACGCCGGGACGGACGUGCGCGGGCAGCACUUCCACAUGCUGCCGUUCGGGUCCGGGCGGCGGAUCUGCCCCGGCGCGUCGCUGGCCAUGCUGGUGGUGCAGGCGGCGCUGGCCGCCAUGGUGCAGUGCUUCGAGUGGCGGCCCGCGGGCGGCGCGGACAAGGUGGACAUGGAGGAGGGGCCCGGGCUGACGCUGCCGCGGAAGCACCCGCUCGUCUGCGCCGUCGCGCCACGGCUCCACCCGCUGAGGAGCUGCCGCGGCGCGUCCCCUGGUGGUUAA
rnacentral:rRNA from 1 species